UGCUUUUCUUAGCUUAGUGGCGAACGGGUGAGUAACGCGUGAGUAACCUGCCCUGGAGUGGGGGACAACAGUUGGAAACGACUGCUAAUACCGCAUAAGCCCACGAUCCGGCAUCGGAUUGUGGGAAAAGGAUUUAUUCGCUUCAGGAUGGACUCGCGUCCAAUUAGCUAGUUGGUGAGGUAACGGCCCACCAAGGCGACGAUUGGUAGCCGGACUGAGAGGUUGAACGGCCACAUUGGGACUGAGACACGGCCCAGACUCCUACGGGAGGCAGCAGUGGGGGAUAUUGCACAAUGGGGGAAACCCUGAUGCAGCGACGCCGCGUGGAGGAAGAAGGUUUUCGGAUUGUAAACUCCUGUCGUUAGGGACGAUAAUGACGGUACCUAACAAGAAAGCACCGGCUAACUACGUGCCAGCAGCCGCGGUAAAACGUAGGGUGCAAGCGUUGUCCGGAAUUACUGGGUGUAAAGGGAGCGCAGGCGGACCGGCAAGUUGGAAGUGAAAACUAUGGGCUCAACUCAUAAAUUGCUUUCAAAACUGCUGGCCUUGAGUAGUGCAGAGGUAGGCGGAAUUCCCGGUGUAGCGGUG
rnacentral:rRNA from 1 species